rnacentral:rRNA from 1 species
GAUUCCCCUAGUAACUGCGAGUGAAGCGGGAAAAGCUCAAAUUUAAAAUCUGGUGGUCUUUUGGCCGUCCGAGUUGUAAUCUAGAGAAGUGUUAUCCGCGYWGGACCGUGUACAAGUCUCCUGGAAUGGAGCAUCAUAGAGGGUGAGAAUCCCGUCUUUGACAUGGACUGCCAGGGCUUUUGUGAUGCGCUCUCAAAGAGUCGAGUUGUUUGGGAAUGCAGCUCAAAAUGGGUGGUAAAUUCCAUCUAAAGCUAAAUAUUGGCGAGAGACCGAUAGCGAACAAGUACCGUGAGGGAAAGAUGAAAAGAACUUUGGAAAGAGAGUUAAACAGUACGUGAAAUUGCUGAAAGGGAAACGCUUGAAGUCAGUCGCGUCAUCCAGGGAUCAACCUUGCUUUUGCUUGGUGCACUUUCUGGUUUGAUGGGUCAGCAUCAAUUUUGACCAUUGGAAAAAGGUCAAGGGAAUGUGGCAUCUUUGGAUGUGUUUAUAGCCCUUGGUCACAUACAAUGGUUUGGGAUUGAGGAACUCAGCACGCCGCAAGGCCGGGUUUAAAACCACGUACGUGCUUAGGAUGUUGACAUAUAUAAUGGCUUUAAUCGACCCGUCUUGAAACACGGACCAAGGAGUCUAACAUGCCUGCGAGUGUUUGGGUGGAAAACCCGAGCGCGUAAUGAAAGUGAAAAGUUGAGAUCCCUGUCGUGGGGAGCAUCGACGCCCGGACCAGACCUUUUGUGACGGUUCCGCGGUGGAGCAUGUAUGUUGGGACCCGAAAGAUGGUGAACUAUGCCUGAAUAGGGUGAAUCCAGAGGAAACUCUGGUGGAGG